GCGCUUUAAGAUUUCCGGGGAUGGAAUCCGAAAUGGAAACGCAGAGCGCCAGGGCAGAGGAGGGCUUUACCCAGGUCACCCGCAAGGGUGGCCGACGGGCGAAGAAACGACAGGCUGAACAGCUGUCCGCAGCAGGAGAGGGCGGGGAUGCGGGCCGCAUGGACACAGAGGAGGCCAGGCCGGCGAAGAGGCCCGUCUUCCCACCCCUCUGUGGGGACGGGCUCCUGUGGGAAAGAAGAAACAAGGAAAAUUCCAGUCCCAGCUAACAGAUACACACCAUUGAAAGAAAACUGGAUGAAGAUAUUUACUCCUAUUGUGGAACAUUUGGGACUUCAGAUACGCUUUAACUUGAAAUCAAGGAAUGUAGAAAUCAGGACUUGUAAAGAAACCAAGGAUGUUAGUGCUCUGACAAAAGCAGCUGAUUUUGUGAAAGCUUUUAUUCUCGGCUUUCAGGUGGAGGAUGCACUUGCCCUCAUCAGGUUGGAUGACCUCUUCCUAGAGUCUUUUGAAAUUACAGAUGUUAAACCCCUAAAGGGAGACCAUCUAUCCAGGGCAAUAGGAAGAAUCGCUGGCAAAGGAGGAAAAACCAAAUUCACCAUAGAGAAUGUGACACGGACAAGGAUAGUUUUGGCUGAUGUGAAAGUUCACAUCCUUGGCUCCUUCCAAAAUAUCAAGAUGGCAAGAACUGCCAUUUGCAACCUAAUCUUGGGAAAUCCUCCUUCCAAGGUUUAUGGCAAUAUUCGAGCUGUGGCUAGCAGAUCAGCAGAUCGAUUCUGAUUUCAAGUCAGAGACUUUUUAUCUUGCCUUUGGACUCUGGUGAAAAAUACUUUACAGUGGUCGGUCACAAGAAACCAGCUGAACAAUUUCAGUCAUUUGAAGCCUCCGUCCCUUCUUCCAUUCUCAGCCAGAAGC
rnacentral:lncRNA from 1 species